UCUGGCAGCAGUAUUGCGUCUUUGUCCUUAAAUACCGGCUUUGUAGCACCAGGAAAAUAUUCCCGGGAUGUUUCACUUUAUUUGGGUAGCAGAAUGUCGGACAAGUUCUCUUCCUAUUUUGACAGUAACAGUUCAAAACGAAACGAGAGAAGCCUGGACGCCGAAGCGCAGAGCUCCCGUGUGGCGUGAAACUGGACAGAUGAGCGGUCAGUUCGAAGCAGCAGCAGUUGAUCCCGGAGACCAGGCGCACUCACCUCGCGGUCCCGGGUGCCCACCGUCUCUCCGGCCGGCUGUCCUGACUGAAACGUUUCCUCUCCUGGAGCUCCAGACUGCGGGCCGCCGGAGCGUCUGGAUAACAACCGGUCGUGUUACACCUGUACUGUUUCUAUUUCGAUUUUUGCAAUAAACUAGUCUUUGGAUUGUUUCUUAAA